UCCCCACCAUGCCUAGAGCAAAAGAGAAUAAGAAACAUUGGCCAAAGCAAAAGAGAAGAAAAAAGGAACAUAGAAUUCUUAAUGAAGAAAGGGAUGAAAAGCCAAGAAGAACCUAAAAGGAGAGAGUGAGAUGGGGGUGGUUCAUAUAUAACUGAAUUAUUUAGGAAUUUGAAACAUGCUUUUGAUGCUUGAGCUUGCCGUUCCCUAUUCCUCUUCUAUG
rnacentral:lncRNA from 1 species